rnacentral:rRNA from 1 species
UACGUAGGGUGCGAGCGUUAAUCGGAAUUACUGGGCGUAAAGCGUGCGCAGGCGGUUCGUUAAGUUCGUCGUGAAAGCCCCGGGCUCAACCUGGGAACUGCGAUGGAAACUGGCGGGCUUGAGUGUGGCAGAGGGGGGUGGAAUUCCGCGUGUAGCAGUGAAAUGCGUAGAGAUGCGGAGGAACACCGAUGGCGAAGGCAGCCCCCUGGGCCAACACUGACGCUCAGGCACGAAAGCGUGGGGAGCAAGCAGG